UAGUGGGAGAUCAGAAUGUUUAGCCUCAAAUAGGAAUUAUGGAACUACACUUUGUACAGGACGACGGUGGCUAUGUGGUUACUGUAGCUGACUGCAAACACAUAGGUUGGCGGUUCGAAUCCGUGCCCUCCUGGAUUUUGACUUAAGGUCUGUUCAGGAUCAGAAGUGAAAUGUGAUGUGUGUGAGAAUCCGUACUUGGACGACGCAGCUUCUCUUUUCUAUGUCUUAGGUCUCUCUAGGACAUUACUCUCCCGAGAUGUGAAAAAUAAAAAUAAAAUAGAAAGAAAUAAAAAAAAUAAAAAUAAAAAAAGCUUACCUAUGAAAACAACAUAGAAAAAA